UACCCAACAGAGUUUUUGUGCCUAGUGAGUGGCCUGUCAAAGGAUUGGAGUCAUUCCUUUCAAAACUGACUAGGCUUGUGAUCGAUGAUGUGACGAUAGAGUAAUCGUCCUUCAAGUGCAGGAUAUACCUACGAUUCUGGUAUGUCGCGGAGAGGGAGAAGAAACUCAGUACUUCUUUCAAAAAAUUUCCAGUCCAGGCCAAACUGAAGCAUAUAUUAUUGAUGUCGUAAUUGCCACAAUGGAUAAUUUAUCAGAAAAAAAUUCCAUGGUUUCCGACGAUUCAUCGAAAAGUUUAGAGAAUGAUAACUCCGAUUCUUAUAAAGGAAUCUCAUUGGAUAACUACAAUAUCGUGGCGCACCAGAGUGAGAACAGAACAGCAUAUUACUUCGUACUAAUUCAAGGAAAGUGAGUUGUUGACUUACUUCUGUGCCAGCUGUUUAACAUCAUACCUGAACUAUGUAUUAUCAUUUUUUGUGUCCAAACGUUGAACAUUGAAAGAGAAACCAGUCACAAUCACCAAACACAACGCCAUUCGGCACAUCACUCGGCACGUCACUCGGCACGCCACUCGGCACGCUGGGCUAAAAGGAAUGGCAUCUCAGAUAGCCAUUUUAAUUGCUAAUAUGUCAUAUAACAAAAAAUUUUGGAAAAGGGGAAGGAGAAAGGAUAAUAGAUCAAAGGGGACUCACUCUGUAGGAAUUUUUUAAUACCCGAAAAAAUAAUUCAGACAGUUUGGACUGGGAAUCGAAUCCGCACUGAAAAAAUAGUUUUAUUCUCACGGUCAGGAAACUGGUAUAAUCCCCACAGCAAUGCUAAGUUUAAUCCUGGGACUAUAUACUAGCCCAUGCUAUUACCGCGUAGGAAAGGUAAUGGUGACACCAUUGAUUUUCUCAUUUUAACCUU